CCCUUAGAUGUUCUGGGCUGCACGCGCGCUACACUGAAGCGUUCAACGAGUAUUCACCUUGCCCGGGAGGGUUGGGUAAUCUUUUGAAAACGCUUCGUGAUGGGGAUAGAUUAUUGCAAUUAUUAAUCUUCAACGAGGAAUUCCUAGUAAGCGCGAGUCAUCAGCUCGUGCUGAUUACGUCCCUGCCCUUUGUACACACCGCCCGUCGCACCUACUGAUUGAAUGACUCGGUGAAAAAUUGGGACUGUGAGAACAAUUGAUUCAUUUCAAAUGUACUCGUGGGAACUUUUUUUAACCUCGCCAUUUAGAAGAAGGUGAAGUCGUANCA
rnacentral:rRNA from 1 species